UUCAGAACGGCUAAUAAAUACGACAAAUACUGCAGAAACUGAAAGACCACGACUAUCCUCUUCAUUCUGUGGGUGUGAAAAAAAUGUUCAAAGAAGUUUAAAGCUACAAAAUCCUGGGCUUAAAAAGCUUUAUGAUUUCAUAAUUUGUUAAACUCAAGAAACACAAGAAUUAACCAGAUGGAUCCCAUUAAAGACAAGUGAGCUUAUAUCCUGAUUGAUUUGGAGAGCAUCUAUCUCUAGAAAGUUAGGACAUACGCUUCUCACUAUCACCUACAGGAGAGAGUGUCCUCUAGGAAAUGGGAGAAAAAUCCAGCCAGGAAACUGCUUGACCACAGGCUUUGUGGAAUUAAUCUUCCUAACUGCUCGCCUUCCUAGGAAAGGAAUGAGGCACCAGAUGGCACGGUAUUCUCUCAACCUCCUCUUGCACAGAAGGAGCAGUGUGAAGCUAUUUCAUUGGGCCAAGUUUUCCCUCCUAAUGUCCCAAAGGCGGUACCAGGAGCUGCACAAUUGGGAAACACCACACACACACACACACACACACACACACACACACACACCAUGCUAAAAAACAAACAAAAAUACAUGCAGAAAUGAAAACAGAAACGUUUAGCUAAGCAGACAACUUGAUUAGCACGGUCA